rnacentral:rRNA from 1 species
CAACAUCAGUUUCGAUCACUAUAAAAUGACUGGCGGAAUGUAGCUUCGAUUUCGGUUGAAGUGUUAUAGCCUCUGGUAGAUGUGGUGAUUGGGACUGAGGAUUGCAACGAAUAUCCUUUGGGCUAUCCGUCUGGCCUCUGAAAGUUGCUUGGGUGCUGAAAGCUUGCUUAUGGUUAUCUAAGUUAACGGUCAAUAGGUUAGAACGCGAUUACAUUCGUUAAGGAUGUUGACGUAAA